rnacentral:rRNA from 1 species
GACGAACGCUGGCGGCGUGCUUAACACAUGCAAGUCGAACGAAGAGCGAUGGACGCUUGCUUCUAUCAAUCUUAGUGGCGAACGGGUGAGUAACGCGUAAUCAACCUGCCCUUCAGAGGGGGACAACAGUUGGAAACGACUGCUAAUACCGCAUACGAUCUAAUCUCGGCAUCGAGGAUAGAUGAAAGGUGGCCUCUACAUGUAAGCUAUCACUGAAGGAGGGGAUUGCGUCUGAUUAGCUAGUUGGAGGGGUAACGGCCCACCAAGGCGAUGAUCAGUAGCCGGUCUGAGAGGAUGAACGGCCACAUUGGGACUGAGACACGGCCCAGACUCCUACGGGAGGCAGCAGUGGGGAAUCUUCCGCAAUGGACGAAAGUCUGACGGAGCAACGCCGCGUGAGUGAUGACGGCCUUCGGGUUGUAAAGCUCUGUUAAUCGGGACGAAAGGCCUUCUUGCGAAUAGUGAGAAGGAUUGACGGUACCGGAAGAGAAAGCCACGGCUAACUACGUG